ensembl:lncRNA
CACCCCAUGGUAAGCUGGGUUAUGAGGUUCCUUUCCAGGAAAACAUAUGACAUUCAUUCUGUUUCUUUCAGGAGCAGUUAAGCAAAGAAAAGAACUUAAGCCAUGGGGUGAUAAGGAAGAAAGAAGAGAAAAAAAUUCAGGAUGUGUAAUGUGUGGCACGGCCCAUGGGUAGAUGUCAUUGUCCUCGGAGAUGUAGAGCAGGAGGGAGAUGAAAGAAAAACAAGUCACAUCCUCUCCUUAAGGAGCUGUGGGUCUCAUGGAAGAGAAGAGCAAGAAAUGAUGCAAAUUUGUAUAAGAGACUAUCAAUAAUGACUCUGUGACAAAACCCUGAGAAGGGAAUUGGAGUUGCCUGCAGUCCUGGAAUGCCACAGGGCUGUGCUCAGGGCAAAGAACUGAGAUGUGGGAGGAACAGGUAAGAAUAAUUCUUCAUUAUCUCCUUUACGUGCCCCACAGGUGGCUGCCCUGGGUGGGGAGAAGGGGAAAAGCUGCUCCCCAGCCCCAGGGGGAAUGCUGAAGAGGGGCGGUAGGCUGCAGCAGGACCUCUGUCCCAGGGUCUGGCACUUAAUGUGCAUGCCCCCAACCCAGAGAUGCCGAGCAUCAGCAGGACGUGAUGUCCCUUUUCCCCACAUGGAUGUCAUCAAGGGACUGGCCGGAAGGUGACUGGGACCUUCAGGCAGAAACCC